UUUCUCUGAUUUCUAUCGUCCUCAUGAGGUUAUAUUGGUGUGUAGGUCCUGACAGACAGACCACAGUGAUCAGUGCUGCUCUGCUAAAAGUGAGCUGGGAAACCAGCAGUCUAGAAUUCAGGGACAGGUGUCUGAGCCAAGCCUCCAGCAGUUGGGGGACGAUAACACAUUUACAGCUCCCAGUGCUGCUCGCCUGUAGUCAAUUACUGUCAGCAAGACCAGUGGAAACAGGACCGGAUGUACAGACAGGCGCUGUGGAUGGGCAGACAGGAGAAUUCAUAAGGAAUGGUAUGUGAGGGUCAUGUGAGGCAAACCUUACUAUACAGAGUAACAGUAAUAUUAAUAUGUAAAUGAAUACACUUCUGUCACAGGGGUCGUGAAAUGGAGACCAAGAUGCAGCGUGGAUAGUGCUAAUUCUUAAUCUUUAAUGAAAACACUUCAAACAGCAAAACAAGAAAACAACCAACAACAGUCCCGUCAGUUCCUGUAAGGUCCUGACGCCGGAGAUAAGAAGCAGGUACGGGGAGUCAAACAUUUAUUCAGGAACAGACAUAGAACAUGGCAGGAACAGGGUGCAGAUGAUCCCACCCAGAAACCUGGCUGGACAAAACCAGGAAAUACCAGAUACCACAGAGAGGGAUCUGCCUUCAACUCUCUGGGCCUGCCAGGCAUAGACCAUCCUUCCGUGAACAUAGACUCAUCCUCCACCCCAUCUCUCCCUCUGUGUCUGCCUUCUGCCCCAGGGGUCAAGAGAGUGCUAACAUAAUUCUCCUGUGGUGGGAGAUUACAGCAUAUUAGGAGUCAAGUCAGGAUAACCACAGUAUCGGUGUGUGGGUAAAAUCCCUUUGGAAGCCAAGCCAGG
rnacentral:lncRNA from 1 species